rnacentral:lncRNA from 1 species
GGGGGGAGGGGGCCAGGCAGCCGUUAGACAGCACAACCGAACCCAACACCGGGGCCCAACGGCAGGGGCUUGGGCAGGAGCAAGGUCCGAGGGCUGCCAGAUGGAGUCUCGCUCUGUCAACCAGACUGAAGUGCAAUGGCAUGGUAUCGCCUCACUGUAACCUCUGCCUUCUGGGUUCAAGCAAUUCUCCUGCCUCAGCCUCCUGAGUAGCUGGGACUACAGGCACACGCCACCACGCUUGGCUAACUUUUGUAUUUUUAGUAGAGAUGGGGUUUCACCAUAUUGGCCAGGAUGGUCUCAAUCUCCUGACAUCGUGAUCCACCCACCUUGGCCUCCGAAAGUGCUGGGAUUGUAGGCAUGAGCCACCACACCUGGCCUUCAAGUGCUAUUUCUUUGCAGUACCAGGGGACAAGCAUUCUCUUUCUAAAUAAACAUUUUACAUAUAACAGCUGCUUCCCAAAGAGUGCCUCAUGAUCUUUCCUUUUCUUUCAGUGCCAUCGGCCAUUAUCAUGCCCUCGUUCUCUGCCAGUGCUCUGGAAGAGCGGGUGGGGCCCAUGCCCACAGUGCCCUCUCCGAGUUCUGUCCUCCAUGUGGUCAAGUUACCCCCUAAGCCUGUCACACGCAGUCAUCCUGGAACUUUGCUUAACUGCUUCCUGGGUUGGGGCCUUUAUUUCCAGCCUGGGCAACAUGGUGAAAACCCGUCU